ANGUGCGAUCAUACCAGCACUAAUGCACCGGAUCCCAUCAGAACUCCGCAGUUAAGCGUGCUUGGGCGAGAGUAGUACUAGGAUGGGUGACCUCCUGGGAAGUCCUUGUGUUGCACCUC
rnacentral:rRNA from 2 species